AUUCAACUUACGAGUCCCAGAACAGGACGAAACGCACGUCCUCGAU
rnacentral:hammerhead_ribozyme from 1 species